AGAGUUUGAUCCUGGCUCAGGAUGAACGCUGGCGGCGUGCCUAAUACAUGCAAGUCGAGCGAACGGACGAGAAGCUUGCUUCUCUGAUGUUAGCGGCGGACGGGUGAGUAACACGUGGAUAACCUACCUAUAAGACUGGGAUAACUUCGGGAAACCGGAGCUAAUACCGGAUAAUAUUUUGAACCGCAUGGUUCCAAAGUGAAAGACGGUCUUGCUGUCACUUAUAGAUGGAUCCGCGCUGCAUUAGCUAGUUGGUAAGGUAACGGCUUACCAAGGCAACGAUGCAUAGCCGACCUGAGAGGGUGAUCGGCCACACUGGAACUGAGACACGGUCCAGACUCCUACGGGAGGCAGCAGUAGGGAAUCUUCCGCAAUGGGCGAAAGCCUGACGGAGCAACGCCGCGUGAGUGAUGAAGGUCUUCGGAUCGUAAAACUCUGUUAUUAGGGAAGAACAUAUGUGUAAGUAACUGUGCACAUCUUGACGGUACCUAAUCAGAAAGCCACGGCUAACUACGUGCCAGCAGCCGCGGUAAUACGUAGGUGGUAAGCGUUAUCCGGAAUUAUUGGGCGUAAAGCGCGCGUAGGCGGUUUUUUAAGUCUGAUGUGAAAGCCCACGGCUCAACCGUGGAGGGUCAUUGGAAACUGGAAAACUUGAGUGCAGAAGAGGAAAGUGGAAUUCCAUGUGUAGCGGUGAAAUGCGCAGAGAUAUGGAGGAACACCAGUGGCGAAGGCGACUUUCUGGUCUGUAACUGACGCUGAUGUGCGAAAGCGUGGGGAUCAAACAGGAUUAGAUACCCUGGUAGUCC
rnacentral:rRNA from 1 species